AAAUUCAGAACCAUUCUCUUUAGUGGUUUCAACAUGAUAUUGAUUAUCUUGAAUAUCUCUAAAACUCAGCAACGUUCUUCCGAAACGGGGAGAACAGAGUGCCUCUUUAAUGGUUAAUUCAAUACCAUUAAACAAUAUUAUACAAUUCCAUUCAUUCAAUUAAUUAAUCGAGAAAAUAAUAUCCAUAAAAAGAAUUAUCCAUAAUUCAAAACAAACCAAACCAAACAAAUAAUUCCUAAGACUUAGAAAAAUUGUCCAAUAAUUAAACCAUAAACCUAGAAAAUAAGGGGGGAAGGAGGGUUCGGCCACUAGGGGUGUAAAACACCCUAACAUGUUUUAGAAAAAUAAAACUUUAUUAUUCCAUGGGAGCGGAUGCCUCCUAAAAAUAUGAAACCUCUACAAUUGUAGUAGCAUCUUCAGGAUGUUCCACAUGCACAAAGUUAGUCUCAUGACGGGAAUGAUACUUGGCAAUAGCCUCGGGGGUAGCUUGACAUAUGCAUGACCAAUGAUCAUUUGAUCCACAAUGGUAGCACAUGGCCAAUUUAGUGGAAGCCGAUUUAGUGGUACCUUUUCCCUUGUUUUUGAAGUUUGUGGCCUUAAGGGCAAGGGGUUGGCGCU
rnacentral:lncRNA from 1 species